UUUUCAUUAUACCCUAGUUACUGUAAGAUCCCCUUUCAGGGACCCCCACUCUAGUCUUGGGGGAGAGAGCACACCCAAAGAAAUAUGAAAAUCC
rnacentral:pre_miRNA from 7 species